rnacentral:rRNA from 1 species
UACGGAGGAUGCGAGCGUUAUCCGGAUUUAUUGGGUUUAAAGGGUGCGUAGGUUGUUUUUUAAGUCAGCGGUGAAAGUUUGUGGCUCAACCAUAAAAUUGCCGUUGAAACUGGAAGACUUGAGUGUGUUUGAGGUAGGCGGAAUGCGUGGUGUAGCGGUGAAAUGCAUAGAUAUCACGCAGAACACCGAUUGCGCAGGCAGCUUGCUAAUCCGCAUCUGACGCUGAUGCACGAAAGCGUGGGUAGCGAACAGG